CACAGGUGGUCAGGUAGAGAAUACCAAGGCGCUUGAGAGAACUCGGGUGAAGGAACUAGGCAAAAUGGUGCCGUAACUUCGGGAGAAGGCACGCUGACAUGUAGGUGAAGUGAUUUACUCAUGGAGCUGAAGUCAGUCGAAGAUACCAGCUGGCUGCAACUGUUUAUUAAAAACACAGCACUGUGCAAACACGAAAGUGGACGUAUACGGUGUGACGCCUGCCCGGUGCCGGAAGGUUAAUUGAUGGGGUCAGCGCAAGCGAAGCUCCUGAUCGAAGCCCCGGUAAACGGCGGCCGUAACUAUAACGGUCCUAAGGUAGCGAAAUUCCUUGUCGGGUAAGUUCCGACCUGCACGAAUGGCGUAAUGAUGGCCAGGCUGUCUCCACCCGAGACUCAGUGAAAUUGAACUCGCUGUGAAGAUGCAGUGUACCCGCGGCAAGACGGAAAGACCCCGUGAACCUUUACUAUAGCUUGACACUGAACAUUGAGCCUUGAUGUGUAGGAUAGGUGGGAGGCUUUGAAGUGUGGACGCCAGUCUGCAUGGAGCCGACCUUGAAAUACCACCCUUUAAUGUUUGAUGUUCUAACGUGGACCCGUGAUCCGGGUUGCGGACAGUGUCUGGUGGGUAGUUUGACUGGGGCGGUCUCCUCCUAAAGAGUAACGGAGGAGCACGAAGGUUGGCUAAUCCUGGUCGGACAUCAGGAGGUUAGUGCAAUGGCAUAAGCCAGCUUGACUGCGAGCGUGACGGCGCGAGCAGGUGCGAAAGCAGGUCAUAGUGAUCCGGUGGUUCUGAAUGGAAGGGCCAUCGCUCAACGGAUAAAAGGUACUCCGGGGAUAACAGGCUGAUACCGCCCAAGAGUUCAUAUCGACGGCGGUGUUUGGCACCUCGAUGUCGGCUCAUCACAUCCUGGGGCUGAAGUAGGUCCCAAGGGUAUGGCUGUUCGCCAUUUAAAGUGGUACGCGAGCUGGGUUUAGAACGUCGUGAGACAGUUCGGUCCCUAUCUGCCGUGGGCGCUGGAGAACUGAGGGGGGCUGCUCCUAGUACGAGAGGACCGGAGUGGACGCAUCACUGGUGUUCGGGUUGUCAUGCCAAUGGCACUGCCCGGUAGCUAAAUGCGGAAGAGAUAAGUGCUGAAAGCAUCUAAGCACGAAACUUGCCCCGAGAUGAGUUCUCCCUGAGACUUAGAGUCUCCUGAAGGAACGUUGAAGACGACGACGUUGAUAGGCCGGGUGUGUAAGCGCAGCGAUGCGUUGAGCUAACCGGUACUAAUGAACCGUGAGGCUUAACCUUACAACGCCGAAG
rnacentral:rRNA from 1 species